rnacentral:tRNA from 1 species
GGGUUAGAAGCUUAUAUAGCAUUGGUCUUGUAAAUCAAAGAUAGGGUAUAAUCAAUUCACCCCUAGCCCU